UCCAUUCUUUCGCAAAAGAUACAGAUCCAAAGGCAGCGGCCACUCCCGCCCCAUCCGUUCUUAAGUUGAAAGCGUUAUUCCGUCUGCCCUGGGUGAGCACGAGAAUUAGUAGUUCUCAGCAGAUGUGUGAUGACUGCAUUAACGUAUGAGGGAACAAAUGACGACAAAAAUGAAUAAACGGACCGAGGAACAGUAACACACGGAGAGAGAAGAGAAGCACAGACCUUCAUUCCAGCCAACGAGAGCAUGUUGUUCAGUUUGUACAUCCCAGACUGCACCGGUGUGGUAUACAACAGGGCAUCGUUAAACUGCAAGAAGAAACAUUUCAAGGACAUG